GACGAACGCUGGCGGCGCGCUUAACACAUGCAAGUCGAACGGAAAGGCCUGCUUUCCCUUGUGGAUUGCGGGUACUCGAGUGGCGAACGGGUGAGUAACACGUGAGUGAUCUGCCCCCAACUUGGGUAUAAGCCUGGGAAACUGGGUCUAAUUCCCGAUAGGACUGCAGGGUGGUGCCUGUGGUGGAAAACGAUUUUCUAGUGGUUGGGGAUGAGCUCGCGGCCUAUCAGCUUGUUGGUGGGGUAAUGGCCUACCAAGGCGGCGACGGGUAGCCGGCCUGGGGGGGUGGGCGGCCACAUUGGGGCUGAGAGACGGCCCAGACUCCUACGGGAGGCAGCAGUGGGGAAUAUUGCACAAUGGGCGGAAGCCUGAUGCAGCGACGCCGCGUGGGGGAUGACGGCCUUCGGGUUGUAAACUCCUUUCGACCGCGAGGAAGCCACCUGGUUGGAAGGGUGGUGACGGUAGUGGUAGAAGAAGCACCGGCUAACUACGUG
rnacentral:rRNA from 1 species